rnacentral:rRNA from 1 species
GUGCCAGCAGCCGCGGUAAUACGUAGGUGGCAAGCGUUAUCCGGAAUUAUUGGGCGUAAAGCGCGCGUAGGCGGUUUUUUAAGUCUGAUGUGAAAGCCCACGGCUCAACCGUGGAGGGUCAUUGGAAACUGGAAAACUUGGGUGCAGAAGAGGAAAGUGGAAUUCCAUGUGUAGCGGUGAAAUGCGCAGAGAUAUGGAGGAACACCAGUGGCGAAGGCGACUUUCUGGUCUGUAACUGACGCUGAUGUGCGAAAGCGUGGGGAUCAAACAGGAUUAGAUAC